rnacentral:ncRNA from 1 species
AUAAAGUUUUAUUCUAGCUACAAGGUUCUUUUUAUAAUUGCUUCACAUGUAAGAAGUAAACAAGGAGGAAGGCUUAAUCUAAAAGAUGGAUCUUAAGAAAUACAUUCGCAGUGUUUUAUUUUAAAAGUCAAGGAAAGUUGGAGUUAGUAAUUUAUUUAAUUCUGGCAAAAGUCGUGCCAGCCGCCGCGGUUAUACGAAAAGUGUAAAAGAACGUUAAUGGGAGGGAGUAAAUAUUUUUAGAAAGAGGACUAGGCUGUGGUUAUUAUUAAGUGAAAUUUUAAUAUAUUAAAAUGUCCAGAAGAGAAGUUAAUGAAACUUUGAAAUUUAGAUUCUAAACUAGGAUUAGAUACCCUAUUAUUCUUUAUGUUGAUAAAAUCCCCUGAGUAGUAAUAGUUAUGUUCUUGAAACUCAAAGAAUUUGGCGGUGUUUUAGUCCUUUCAGAGGAACUUGUCCCUUAAUCGAUAAUCCCCGUUAUACUUUACUUAAUUUGUUUAACAGCUUGUAUACCGCCGUCAUAAGAAUAUUUUUAGAGAUAAUGUUCAAAGUUUUGAAUUAAAAAGUAUGUCAGGUCAAGGUGCAGUUUAUAAUUAAGUGGUGAUGAGUUACAUUGAUUUUACUCAAACGGAUUAAAAGAUGAAAAUGUUUAUGAAGGAGGAUUUGAGAGUAAUUGAAUGGAGAGAAAUAAAAUGAUAUUGGCUCUAAAACAUGUACACAUCGCCCGUCGCUCUCGUUUAUUAAGGCGAGAUAAGUCGUAACAUAGUAGAUGUACCGGAAGGUGUAUCUAGAUAGUC